NGAGCAGCAGACCAUUCAAAACCUAUGUGACACACUAAGAACCAUUCUCCGGUUGUAGAUAGUUGUAUGCCUACAUUUUUGUUGUUUUGGUUCUAUGUUAUUCUCCUUUGCUUUAAGAUUUCGUAGGGCUAUGUUGUACAGGUCACAUGGUGGCAAAAAUGAAAAGCAAUCAAUUUUCUUCUAUCAUAUAUUGCUUUUAAAUUAAUCAUCUGUGAUAAGAAAUAAACGGUGUUUUAUCUUCUUUCCCUCCCUCAAAUUAUGUCAGGCAAGCGAUGAAGUGUUUCCCACUCCCUACAAAUAUCAAGCUCUUCUUUGACCAAAAUGAAAAUAAUAAG
rnacentral:lncRNA from 1 species